CAAUGAUAUGUUGUCACAAAGCAAAUUUUAACCUAACUACCUUCCGAGUAUAGUUUCAAAGGAUCAAAAAUAAAAAAAACCCCUCAUUUUUUAAACGAACGCUCUCCCUAAUACUCUUCACUCAAAACCCUAAAUCUCUCUCUCACGUUCAAAUUCAACUCAAUCCUAAAGCUUAUAGCUAAAAGAGAGAGCUGAUAUAUACACAUGGAGAGAAUCAUCGGAGAGAAGUACAGGUUAGGUCGCAAAAUUGGAAGCGGAUCUUUUGGUGAAAUAUUUCUUGCCACUCAUGUCGAAUCCAAUGAAAUCGUGGCAGUUAAAAUUGAAAACAACAAGACCAAACAUCCACAGCUGCUAUAUGAAGCCAAGAUAUAUAAGCAUCUUCAAGGAGGAAGUGGUGUUCCGAGCAUCAAAUGGUAUGGAGUAGAUGGGGAUGAUAAUGUUCUAGUUCUUGACCUGCUAGGACCAAGUCUUGAAGAUCUGUUUGUCUAUUGUGGGAGGAAGUUUUCACUGAAAUCGGUGUUGAUGUUGGCUGAUCAGAUGAUUACGAGGAUAGAAUUUGUGCAUUCCAAAGGGUUUUUACAUAGAGACAUCAAACCAGAUAACUUCCUCAUGGGUCUUGGCAGGAGAGCAAAUCAGGUCUAUAUUAUUGAUUUUGGACUUGCAAAAAGAUAUCGAGACCCCACCACAAACCGCCAUAUUCCUUACAGAGAGAACAAAAACUUAACGGGGACUGCUCGUUAUGCAAGCUGCAAUACUCAUCUAGGGAUUGAGCAAAGCCGACGGGAUGAUUUAGAGAGUCUGGGCUAUGUUCUCUUGUACUUUUUACGGGGAAGCCUCCCUUGGCAAGGUCUGAAAGCAGCUACUAAAAAGCAAAAGUAUGACAAAAUAUGUGAGAAGAAGGUAUCGACCCCUAUUGAGGUCCUGUGCAAGUCUCAUCCUGUGGAAUUCGCUUCCUACUUCCAUUAUUGUCACUCUUUAACAUUUGACCAACGACCUGAUUAUGGGUUCUUGAAACGCCUGUUCCAUGACUUGUUUACUCGAGAAGGAUUUGAAUUCGAUUACAUCUUUGACUGGACCAUUCUGAAGUACCAGCAGACACAAAAGACAAAGACACCGGCUCAAUCUUCUGAUUUGCUGCCAGCUUCUAGGGUGAUUAGCAGUCGAGCAAGGCCUAUUGAUACUGAUAAACUUAAGGGAGUCAAUGAUGCAUCAUAUUCUGGUGAGGUUAUGGAGCAGGGGGGAUCAUAUAAGCUCACUCGUCCACAUGUGGAUAUGCAUAGAUCAAUAUCUCAUAAUGUGGGUUCCAGUAACCCGGUUGAGAGGCAUAACACGAGCAAUGUACCAGUGCCAUCUACUUCAUUGACCAUGCCCAAUGCUUUCAAAAGAAAUUUCCCUGAGGGGCAAGAAGAAGCUGCAAAUGUUGGUCGUGCAAUCGGAAACAGAACUGGUGCUUCAAGCAGCUGGAUGCCAUCAUUAUACCGGAAUUCUUCUGCUAAGUAAUUGCCAUGAUUUGAAGGAAUCUGGAAACACAAUGUUGCAAGUUUUGUGAAGUUUGGGUUGCUUGAAUUCUUUGUUGCAAGAGCUGACAGAUCGUAUCAUGUAAUUUUUAUAAGGUGACUACAAGCACAGACACAUUGGAUGGUGCCAAGGCCUGGCCCAUCGAAGCUUGGUUUUUCAUGCUUGCAUAAAUGGGAAAAAUGAAUGAAGGCAGAUUCGUGUUUAAUUAUUCAAUGGAUUAUAUGAUUCUCAUGCUCUAUCCUUGUUGCUUUUUGUUUUUGGGACAAAAUGCUGGAUGUUUACCUGGAUCAGUUUGAGUCUAGGUACCCACAUCCUUCAGAAUCUGAAAAAUGAAAGGAUUUAUCCAGCAUUUCAGAUUUAUAUGAUUCAGAUUUGGUAUGAAAGAAGGUUUAUAUAUAGAAGGGAGGAGCCCACCUUGCUUGUUGAAUGGAUUUCUGAGACCUAAUAUCUUAGUGGCUAUAAGGGAAAAUAAAUCUGGGAUUUCAACGUCUUCUAAGACUUUUAAUGUGUACGAGAUAGCACUAAUAGGAGUUGAUGCAAGACACGUACGUUUCUUAUGA